CCCUUAGAUGUUCUGGGCCGCACGCGUGCUACACUGAGUGGAUCAGCGGGUCAGGUUACGCGAGAGCGUUUCCUAAUCUUCAAAUCCGCUCGUGAUGGGGAUUGACGGUUGCAAUUUUCCGUCAUGAACGAGGAAUACCUUGUAAGCGCGGGUCAUCAUCCCGCGCUGAAUACGUCCCUGCCCUUUGUACACACCGCCCGUCGCUCCUACCGAUUGAGUGGUCCGGUGAGGCUUUGGGAUCAAAGCGAAAAGAGCGUUUCGCUCCUUUUGCUGGGAGAACUCAGUCGAACCUUAUCAUUUAGAGGAAGGAGAAGUCGUAACA
rnacentral:rRNA from 1 species